GUUCUUCAAAGACGACAGCAAACAUGUGUCUCCGUGGUUGAUCUGUACGAGCUUGUUCAACAUGCCGGCAAUAUUUGCCUAGAUUGUAUCUUCUAUGUACGGUAGGAUCUAUCUAUAUCAAAUCCAAGGAGGCUCUUGCUAAGGAAGUUCUUAAGACCUUGUGGAAAUGUGUCGUGGAGUUCAACAUCCUAUACGUGGACUUUUUUUAAGGAGUUACCUUGCUCAUAUAAGUCGAGAUAAGUUACCAGAUAUUGGUUCCAAGUACGAGGGUGAUGCUGACACUGUGAUGGAUGCUGUGGAAUUUGUGCUGCAGAAUUUCACCGAGAUGAAUAA